GACGAACGCUGGCGGCGUGCCUAAUACAUGCAAGUCGAGCGGACGAAUCGAAAGCUUGCUUUUGAUUCGUUAGCGGCGGGCGGGUGAGUAACACGUGGGCAACCUGCCCUGUAGACGGGGAUAACACCGAGAAAUCGGUGCUAAUACCGGAUAACACGAAAUGUCGCAUGACGUUUCGUUGAAAGACGGCGCAAGCUGUCGCUACAGGAUGGGCCCGCGGCGCAUUAGCUAGUUGGUGAGGUAACGGCUCACCAAGGCGACGAUGCGUAGCCGACCUGAGAGGGUGAUCGGCCACACUGGGACUGAGACACGGCCCAGACUCCUACGGGAGGCAGCAGUAAGGAAUCUUCCGCAAUGGACGAAAGUCUGACGGAGCAACGCCGCGUGAGCGAAGAAGGCCUUCGGGUCGUAAAGCUCUGUUGUUAGGGAAGAACAAGUAACGCAGUAACUGGCGUUACCGUGACGGUACCUAACGAGAAAGCCACGGCUAACUACGUG
rnacentral:rRNA from 1 species